rnacentral:lncRNA from 1 species
AAAACAAUAUCAUUAACAAAACUUCCUUCUCAACCUGUACUUCCUCUCUAAAAUUUUCUCUAGUUAUUUUGGGAAAACAACAUUUCCAAAACCUCCAACAACACAAUCUUUUGCUUAUAAAGAACAAUUGAUUAUUUCGUAUGCACGAGGUCAUCAUCUCACCUAUGAACUUUGAAGUUUUCUUCAUGGUGGUGGUUAGAAAGAAGACGACUUGCACUUUAAAAAAUUCUAGAAAGACAGAGAGCCGUUUCUUCACAAGCCAGAUCUGCAAUAACCUUUCAUACACGAAACGUAAAAAAGGUAGCUGGUUGCUUCUGACUGGUUCAUUUUCAUCCUUCUUCCAUAUGUACACUCCAAGUUCAUGAUGUUAUCUUUCUGGGCAUUGAGCAGAUGCAGAAACCAUAGCGAUUAUGGAAGGUUAUUUGAUGAGCCUGUUAACAUAAGUCUGUAUAUUGGAUGGGAGGUUGAAGAGGGCUAAGGGCUUGCCAGCUAGUGUUUUUGGUUCAUCAAAGUCAUGAAAGCUGUGACCAGAAUUGGCCCUUUAAUAUUUCUCCUGC